UUGGUUCAGGACGAACGCUGGCGGCAUGCCUAACACAUGCAAGUCGAGCGGGGACAUGCGACGGAUAGGAAGAUUCGGUUGGACUUGAAGAUGCAUUGUUCUAGCGGCGGACGGGUGAGUAACGCGUGAGCAACCUGUCCCUUACAGGGGGAUAACACAGCGAAAGUUGUACUAAUACCGCAUAAGACCACGGGAGGACAUCCUUCAGGGGUCAAAGGAGGAAUCCGGUAAGGGGUGGGCUCGCGUCCGAUUAGAUAGUUGGUGAGGUAACGGCCCACCAAGUCGACGAUCGGUAGCCGACCUGAGAGGGUGAUCGGCCACAUUGGGACUGAGACACGGCCCAAACUCCUACGGGAGGCAGCAGUGGGGAAUAUUGGGCAAUGGGGGGAAACCCUGACCCAGCAACGCCGCGUGAGGGAAGAAGGUUUUCGGAUCGUAAACCUCUGUCCUUGGUGAAGAGGAAGAGACGGUAGCCAAGGAGGAAGCCCCGGCUAACUACGUGCCAGCCGCCGC
rnacentral:rRNA from 1 species